rnacentral:tRNA from 1 species
AGAAAGGCCCCGAGGCAACAAGUACUGCUAACACUUGGACUCAUGGUUAAACUCCAUGGCUUUCUCG